CUGCUCAAAAUUUGAAGCCUAUAUGCCAACUAAAUUCAGAAAUGUUCUCCAAAAUGCCAUCUAUAAGCAACAGUAGUCACAAAUGCAUUGUAAAAAUAUAUUGAUGAUGCUUUUUGGAAAGUCCAGCAUGUCCUGAGGAAGAAUGUAUAAGACAUAAAAGUCAUAAAUUAUGGAAAGACUCUUCAGCUUCUUCCAAAUGUAAAGGAAUCAUGAUCUUCCCAGCACAUUAAUGCCCUUUUCUCAUUAGAAUGUGGGGCCGGUCCAGACCUAAUAACAUUGUCUGAGCAGAGAAUCCUUGGAGGCACUGAGGCUGAGGAGGGAAGCUGGCCAUGGCAAGUCAGUCUGCGGCUCAAUAAUGCCCACCACUGUGGAGGCAGCCUGAUCAAUAACAUGUGGAUCCUGACAGCAGCUCACUGCUUCAGAAGCAACUCUAAUCCUCGUGACUGGAUUGCCACGUCUGGUAUUUCCACAACAUUUCCUAAACUAAGAAUGAGAGUAAGAAAUAUUUUAAUUCAUAACAAUUAUAAAUCUGCAACUCAUGAAAAUGACAUUGCACUUGUGAGACUUGAGAACAGUGUCACCUUUACCAAAGAUAUCCAUAGUGUGUGUCUCCCAGCUGCUACCCAGAAUAUUCCACCUGGCUCUACUGCUUAUGUAACAGGAUGGGGCGCUCAAGAAUAUGCUGGCCACACGGUUCCAGAGCUAAGGCAAGGACAGGUCAGAAUAAUAAGUAAUGAUGUAUGUAAUGCACCAUAUAGUUAUAAUGGAGCCAUCUUGUCUGGAAUGCUGUGUGCUGGAGUACCUCAAGGUGGAGUGGACGCAUGUCAAGGUGACUCUGGUGGCCCACUAGUACAAGAAGACUCACGGCGGCUUUGGUUUAUUGUGGGGAUAGUAAGCUGGGGAGAUCAGUGUGGCCUGCCGGAUAAGCCAGGAGUGUAUACUCGAGUGACAGCCUACCUUGACUGGAUUAGGCAACAAACUGGGAUCUAGUGCAACAAGUGCAUCCGUGUUGCAAAGUCUGUAUGCAGGUGUGCCUGUCUCAAAUUCCAAAGCUUUACAUUUCAACUGAAAAAGAAACUAGAAAUGUCCUAAUUUAACAUCUUGUUACAUAAAUAUGGUUUAACAAACACUGUUUAACCUUUCUUUAUUAUUAAAGGUUUUCUAUUUUCUCCAGAGAACUAUAUGAAUGCUGCAUAGUACUGUGGCUGUGUAACAGAAGAAACACACUAAACUAAUUACAAAGUUAACAAUUUCAUUACAGUUGUGCUAAAUGCCCGUAGUGAGAAGAACAGGAACCUUGAGCAUGUAUAGUAGAGGAAACUGCACAGGUCUGAUGGGUCAGAGGGGUCUUCUCUGGGUUUCACUGAGGAUGAGAAGUAAGCAAACUGUGGAAACAUGCAAAGGAAAAAGUGAUAGAAUAAUAUUCAAGACAAAAAGAACAGUAUGAGGCAAGAGAAAUAAUAUGUAUUUAAAAUUUUUGGUUACUCAAUAUCUUAUAGUUAGUAUGAGUCCUAAAAUUAAAAAUGUGAAACUGUUGUACUAUAUGUAUAACCUAACCUUAAUUAUUCUGUAAGAACAUGCUUCCAUAGGAAAUAGUGGAUAAUUUUCAGCUAUUUAAGGCAAAAGCUAAAAUAGUUCACUCCUCAACUGAGACCCAAAGAAUUAUAGAUAUUUUUCAUGAUGACCCAUGAAAAAUAUCACUCAUCUACAUAAAGAAGAGACUAUAUCUAUUUUAUAGAGAAGCUAAGAAAUAUACCUACACAAACUUGUCAGGUGCUUUACAACUACAUAGUACUUUUUAACAACAAAAUAAUAAUUUUAAGAAUGAAAAAUUUAAUCAUUGGGAAGAACAUCCCACUACAGACUUCCUAUCACUGGCAGUUAUAUUUUUGAGCGUAAAAGGGUCGUCAAACGCUAAAUCUAAGUAAUGAAUUGAAAGUUUAAAGAGGGGGAAGAGUUAGUUUGCAAAGGAAAAGUUUAAAUAGCUUAAUAUCAAUAGAAUGAUCCUGAAGACAGAAAAAACUUUGUCACUCUUCCUCUCUCAUUUUCUCUUUCUCUCUCUCUCCCCUUCUCAUACACAUGCCUCCCCCACCAAAGAAUAUAAUGUAAAUUAAAUCCACUAAAAUGUAAUGGCAUGAAAAUCUAUGUAGUCUGAAUCACUAAUAUUCCUGAGUUUUUAUGAGCUCCUAGUACAGCUAAAGUUUGCCUAUGCAUGAUCAUCUAUGCGUCAGAGCUUCCUCCUUCUACAAGCUAACUCCCUGCAUCUGGGCAUCAGGACUGCUCCAUACAUUUGCUGAAAACUUCUUGUAUUUCCUGAUGUAAAAUUGUGCAAACACCUACAUUAAAGCCAUCUACUUUUAGGGAAAGGGAGUUGAAAAUGCAACCAACUCUUGGCGAACUGUACAAACAAAUCUUUGCAAUACUUUAUUUCAAAUAAAUUCUUUUUAAAAU
rnacentral:sRNA from 1 species